rnacentral:lncRNA from 1 species
GAACAUCAGAUCGACAACUAAAAUUCUUUAUCUUCAAAGAGGGUUAGUCCCAAGAGAGUUAGUACUACAAUGCACUGUAUCUUGAUCCAACUAUAUUUUAAUGACCCAAAGGUUAAAUAUUCAUCAACUUUAUAGAAACUAUUCAAGGAUCUCUCUGGAAUCUUAUCAUCUAAUCAUUAACUUACGUGAAUCAAGAGCCAACAAAGAAUAGAUCAUGGAUUUUAAGGAUACCAUUCCUAAAUUAAAAAAAACUUUGGCCAUUAUUUUAGUAGAAAACUAUUAUAUUCUUCUUUGUGCAUAAUAUGUUAUUGAAACUAUCAUGAACAAAGAGCAAUUUGACAUAAAUACUUUAUUUCUUGCUUCUAUGUUCUAAGAAUAUCAUAUUAACAACUAACUCUGUCUUGUAGAUUUGAGUAGUACGGGGGUGCAAAUUGGCUUCAAAGAAAAAGUGGAUAUAUGUCUCUCUAGUCACUUAGGUGCUGUUGUUGUCUCUUAGUUUACCUAUGUAUGCUUUCUUGAGAACAAUGUUUGCUAUCUUUUACUUUCUUUAUUUUCUCAAAUAAUGGAGGGUGCAUCAACAAUUUCAAAUGAAAGAAGAGAGGACUACCCAUAUUGAAU